rnacentral:tRNA from 15 species
UGGGCAAGUGGCGGAAUUGGCAGACGCGCACGGUUCAGGGCCGUGUUGGAGCAAUCCAGUGGGGGUUCAACUCCCCCCUUGCCCAU